CAUGUCCUUUUGAAUUUAAUUUAAGGUCUAAUCUGCUCAAUGAUAUUUAAAUAGCCGCAGUAUUUUGACUGUGCAAAGGUAGCAUAAUAAUUAGUUUCUUAAUUGGGAGCUGGAAUGAAUGAUUGGACAAGAAAAUUUCUGUCUCUUUCUUAAUUUUAUUGAAUUUUAUUUUUAAGUGAAAAAGCUUAAAUUUUUAUAAAAGACGAGAAGACCCUAUAGAGUUUAAUAAUUAAUUUUAAUAAGAGUUUAGUAUUAUUAUUUAGGAUUAAAUUAUUUGGUUGGGGUGAUUAAAAGAUUAAAAAAAUUCUUUUAAAAAUUUAAUUGAAUAUUUUCAAUUUUUAAAUCUAUAAUUUAUAAAAUUAAAAUAAAUUACCUUAGGGAUAACAGCGUAAUUUUUCUUUAAAGUUCUUAUUAAUAGAAAAGUUUGCGACCUCGAUGUUGGAUUAAAAUUAAUUUUUGGUGCAGUAACUAAAAAAUUAGGUCUGUUCGACCUUUAAAAUUUUACAUGAUCUGAGUUUAGACCGGUGUGAGCCAGGUCGGAUUCUAUCUUUAGAAAUUUUUUAUAUUUUAGUACGAAAGGACCAAAUAUAAAUUAAAUUAAUUGU
rnacentral:rRNA from 1 species